GGUGCCAAGCGUUGUUCGGAUUCAUUGGGCGUAAAGCGUUCGUANGCGGUCCGGAAAGUCAGAUGUGAAAGCCCAUGGCUCAACCAUGGAACUGCAUUUGAAACUUCCAGACUCGAGGACGAGAGGGGUAGAGGGAAUUCCUAGUGUAAGGGUGAAAUCUGCAGAUAUUAGGAAGAACACCAGUCGCGAAGGCGCUCUACUGGCUCGUAUCUGACGCUGAGGGACGAAAGCUAGGGUAGCAAACGGGAUUAGAUACCCCGGUAGUCCUAGCCGUAAACGAUGUUCACUAGGUGUUGGGGGGGUAAACCCUUCGGUGCCGCAGCUAACGCAUUAAGUGAACCGCCUGGGGGGUACGGUCGCAAGGUCGAAACUCAAAGGAAUUGACGGGGACCCGCACAAACGGUGGAGCAUGUGGUUUAAUACGACGAUACGCGUGGAACCUUACCUAGGCUUGACAUGUAUUGGACCGCUCUAUGAAAGUAGAGCUUUUCCUUCGGGAACUGAUACACAGGUGUUGCAUGGCUGUCGUCAGCUCGUGUCGUGAGAUGUUGGGUUAAGUCCCGCAACGAGCGCAACCCUUAUCAUAUGUUGUUAAUCAUUUCUUCGGAGAUGAUGCAUUCUUAGGAGACUGCCGGUGAUAAACCGGAGGAAGGUGGGGAUGACGUCAAGUCAGUACGGCCCUUACGCCUAGGGUUACACACGUGUUACAAUGGCAGGUACAAUGGGUCGCGAUACCGCGAGGUGGAGCUAAUCCCCAAAGCCUGUCCCAGUCCGGAUUGCAGGCUGCAACUCGCCUGCAUGAAGCUGGAAUCGUUAGUAACCCCGUAUCAGCCACGACGGGGUGAAUACGUUCCCGGGUCUUGUACACACCGCCCGUCAAGUCACCCGAGUGGGUUGUACCCGAAGUUGGUUGCCUAACCUUGUAAGAGGAGGGCGUCGGCGAAGGUAUGAUUUGUGAGGGGGACUAAGUCGUAACAAGGUAACC
rnacentral:rRNA from 1 species